GGCACUAUGACUUAGUGGGUUAAAGUGUCUGUCUAGUAAACAGAAGAUCCUGGGUUCAAAUCCCAGUAGUGCCU